rnacentral:rRNA from 1 species
UACGAAGGGGGCUAGCGUUGCUCGGAAUGACUGGGCGUAAAGGGCGCGUAGGCGGAUGGUACAGUCAGAUGUGAAAUUCCUGGGCUUAACCUGGGGGCUGCAUUUGAUACGUAUUGUCUAGAGUGAGGAAGAGGGUCGUGGAAUUCCCAGUGUAGAGGUGAAAUUCGUAGAUAUCGGGAGGAACACCGGUGGCGAAGGCGGCGACCUGGGUAGAUACUGACGCUGAGGUGCGAAAGCGUGGGGAGCAAGCAGG